rnacentral:rRNA from 1 species
AUUGAACGCUGGCGGCAGGCCUAACACAUGCAAGUCGAGCGGAUGAAGGGAGCUUGCUCCUGGAUUCAGCGGCGGACGGGUGAGUAAUGCCUAGGAAUCUGCCUGGUCGUGGGGGAUAACGUCCGGAAACGGGCGCUAAUACCGCAUACGUCCUGAGGGAGAAAGUGGGGGAUCUUCGGACCUCACGCUAUCAUAUGAGCCUAGGUCGGAUUAGCUAGUUCGUGGGGUAACGGCCUACCAAGGCGACGAUCCGUAACUGGUCUGAGAGGAUGAUCAGUCACACGGGAACUGAGACACGGUCCAGACUCCUACGGGAGGCAGCAGUGGGGAAUAUUGGACAAUGGGCGAAAGCCUGAUCCAGCCAUGCCGCGUGUGUGAAGAAGGUCUUCGGAUUGGAAAGCACUUUAAGUUGGGAGGAAGGGCAGUAAGUUAAUACCUUGCUGUUUUGACGGUACCAACAGAAUAAGCACCGGCUAACUUCGUG